rnacentral:rRNA from 1 species
AUACGUAGGGGGCAAGCGUUAUCCGGAUUCAUUGGGUUUAAAGGGUGCGCAGGCGGCCGUGCAAGUCAGCGGUGAAAGCCCGGGGCUCAACCCCGGAAGUGCCGUUGAUACUGCAUGGCUGGAAUGCGGUCGAGGCGGGCGGGACGGGGCGGGGAGCGGGGAAAUGCGUAGAUAUGCCACAGAAAGCCGAUAGCGGGGGCAGCACGCCAGGCCUGCAUUGACGCUCGGGCACGAAAGCGUGGGGAUCGAACAGGAUUAGAUACCCUGGUAGUCCACGCCGUAAACGAUGGGCGCUCGUCGUCGGCGGCAGACAGUCGGCGGCCAAGCGAAAGCGAUAAGCGCCCCACCUGGGGAGUACGGUCGCAAGGCUGAAACUCAAAUGAAUUGACGGGG